rnacentral:tRNA from 1 species
GGGAUAAUAGCUCAGUGGUAGAGUGAGUACUUAGCAUGUACGGGGUCCUGGGUUCAGUACCCAGUACCUCCA